rnacentral:misc_RNA from 1 species
GAAAUGCGAUACGUAAUGCGAAUUGCAGAAUUCAGUGAAUCAUCGAAUCUUUGAACGCAACUGGCGCUCUCAUUAGCGUGGGAGCAUGCCUCUUUCAGUGUCUGUUCCACUCUUACUCGCCCUCGCGGCGGAAACUGCGGCGUUGCGCGCGCGCGCGCCCCCCCCGUGGGGCGUUGUGUGUGCGCUCGCCGUGAAGUGUCCAGAUGAGCUUGUUCCGCGCGGGCUGCGCGGCUCUCACUGAGAAAGUGACGUGGGUAAACUACCUGCAAUACGUCCGCUUUCGUUCGCAGGUGAGCCGGUCCUUUCGCGAGCAAUCGCGAGACGACGACGAGCGUACGCGCUGCUUUGCGCUCCGCACCGUCGGAGCGUGAAUCGCCGUGCAAUCAACCAUAUUGACCUG